GAUCCUGGCUCAGGAUGAACGCUGGCGGCAUGCCUUACACAUGCAGGUCGAACGGCAGCACGGGAGCAAUCCUGGUGGCGAGUGGCGAACGGGUGAGUAAUAUAUCGGAACGUGCCCAGUAGUGGGGGAUAGCCCGGCGAAAGCCGGAUUAAUACCGCAUACGACCUGAGGGUGAAAGCGGGGGAUCGCAAGACCUCGCGCUAUUGGAGCGGCCGAUAUCAGAUUAGGUAGUUGGUGGGGUAAAGGCUCACCAAGCCAACGAUCUGUAGCUGGUCUGAGAGGACGACCAGCCACACUGGAACUGAGACACGGUCCAGACUCCUACGGGAGGCAGCAGUGGGGAAUUUUGGACAAUGGACGCAAGUCUGAUCCAGCCAUUCCGCGUGCAGGAUGAAGGCCCUCGGGUUGUAAACUGCUUUUGUACGGAACGAAAAGGUUUCUAUUAAUACUAGGAGCUCAUGACGGUACCGUAAGAAUAAGCACCGGCUAACUACGUG
rnacentral:rRNA from 1 species